AAGUAGGAAAUCCAAGCUCAGGGAACUCAGCUCUCAUAAGGGGUGGCAAACAAAUGUUUCAAACCUUUGAUAUGAAGGGAGACAUUAUAUUUACUGUACUGGACAGUUAAUAAAUUGUCUUCUGCUGUGGAAGGAGCUAUCAUCUUUCUCUUGUAAGGAUGUUCAAUAUACAAACAUCUUUGACUGGACAGUAUGUAGCAAAGGACUCUCAUGGAAAUGUGGGACACCGAAAACUGUGGAUUUAGUUACUCCACUCUGCCAUGUCCUUCCACCACUGCCUGCACAUUUGAGACCAAGGAUAGAGAUUGGGAAAAAUCCAUAGUUCUCCUGACUCAGAGUUUGGCUCCGGCACUCUCAUUUCAGCCAUAGCUGCAGACAAAGCACACGACUGCUGGGCACUGUGGCUCAAGAGAAGGGGGAGAUGCAGGAAGAAGAUGAGCCUUAAGUCUGAACACUGAGGAAUUCAUGUGCAUCAGUCAGACCUCCUGUGCAAGGAAGGAUGUGGUUACUACGGCAACCCUGCCUGGCAGGGUUUCUGCUCCAAGUGCUGGAGGGAAGAGUACCACAAAGCCAGGCAGAAGGAGAUUCAGGAGGACUGGGAGCUGGCGGAGCGACUCCAGUGGGAGGAAGAGGCCUUUGCCAGCAGUCAGAGCAGCCAAGGGGCCCAAUCCCUCACAUUCUCCAAGUUUGAAGGAAAGAAAACCAACGAGAAGACCCACGAGGUUACCACAGUGAAGAAAUCUUCAGUGCGUCUUCCAGGGUCGGAUCAAAGAAGGCAGAAAUUCAGGAAGCAAAAGCCAGUCCUUCCAUAAACCGGCGAACCAGCAUUGAAACGGAUAGAGUGUCUAAGGAGUUCAUAGAAUUUCUCAAGACCUUCCACAAGACAGGCCAAGAAAUCUAUAAACAGACCAAGCUGUUUUUGGAAGGGAUGCAUUACAAAAGGUGCCUCCAGAAAGGGUUGAGAAGAUAAUGGAUCAGAUUGAAAAGUACAUCAUGACUCAUCUCUGUAAAUAUGCGUUCUGUCCAGAACCCCAGUGAGCCUGGAAGACUGGGUGCUAUGGGAAAUGUCAUCAAUCCAAUGCUAGUGAAAGAUGUGACUGGGGAAUGCUGAAAAAUGCGCACCCCUGGGAGGAAUGAGGAAAGAUGACAUCCACUGACUUGUUAUUUUUUUGAGAAGGAGUCUUGCUCUGUUGCCCAGGCUGGAGUGUGGUGGCACGAUCUCGGCUCACUGAUGAUGAGAAGAAAGAUCUUGCCAUUCAAAAGAGGAUCAGAGUGGAAGCUUCUCUGUGGUGUCAGAAAGACGAGGAAUGUGGUGACCUCACCUAUCCAUCUCCCUCAAGGCAGCUUUUGUUUUUCUGCAGUGACCGUACUUGCAAUAAUUAAACAUAGUUGGUCAUUUAAAAUACAUCUCUGAUACUCUCGUCAAAGGUGGAGCCCAGUCCCUAUCGCCUUGAGUGAGGGCUGGGUUACGUGAUUCCCUUCUGACAGAUAGGAAAAAGCAAAAGUGAUGGCUUGCAACUUUGCAAACUACAUCAUAAAAGGUACUGUGGCUUCCUCCUUGCUCACUCUUUGAUUACUCACUUGGGAAAGCCAGCUGUCACACCAUGACACCUAAGCAGCCUGUAGAGAGGCUCAUGUAACAGGAACUGAGGCCUCCUGUCAGCAGUCACAUGAGGGAGCCAUCUUGGAAACAGGCUUUAGGUGACUGCAGUCUCAGUGGACAGCUUGAGUGCAAUGUCAUGAGACACCCUGAGCCCAAAUGACCCAGCUAUGCCACUCCUGAAUUCCUGACCCACAGAAAUGGAGAUCCUAACUUAAGUUCUUGGACUCACUGAGGCAGUAAAAGAACCAUAUCCUGUGUUUGAAUCAAAUCCCAAGUUCCUGUACGUAGAAGGUUUGCCAGACAGGAUUCCCUUUCGAAGCCCUCCUGGUUUGGAAUUCCAUGACUUGAAAGGAUCGUCCAUGGGAGUAAUAAAAUCAAAUUUGUUGGUAAAAAACCUGAACUGGUUAUUUCCUACUUGCCUCCUGGAGUUGCUAAUAAAAUAAACACUAAAGCUUCGCAGUUUCUAAAAAGACCAUGAAGCCCUGAGAGUAAUGAAAAGGUUCCUGAAAUUGAGGUCACUGUGGAAGGAGAAUCUAAUGCCUGAUGAUCUGUCACUAUCUCCCAUCACCCCCAGAUGGGACCAUCUAGUUGCAGGAAAAGAAGGUCAAGACUCCCAGUCAUUCUACAUUAUGCCUCAGCCAAGAUGUCUCACCCCACUCUCUCUGAUGCAACAAGAAGCCCCUGGAGAACGUUUCAGUCCCAUUUUGUACUUCUGUCAUGUGCUCAUCACAGUCUGGUGGAAUUUAAAUGACCUCUUAUCAAGAUGGAUAAACCCAAGUUUCCCAGUGCUGGAAUAUAGAAAAUGGAUGGACAAGUAAGUCCCACUCAGCACCCAUAGCCCAGACAUGGGGACCUCAACACACCUGGGCCCCAGACAUCACCUUUCAUUCCGAGGCAUAUGCCAUUCAAGCUAAGGGUGCUACACUUGACCACUGCGGCAGUAUAGAUGAGUCUGAAGAAUGGUAUGGGAUGGAUACUUACGAAUGCACUCGAGCAGGGGUCUCCAUCCACAGGGCCACAGAGCCAGAGGUGAGCAGCAGCUGGAUCUACCAUGAAAGACUUCAGAGUCCAGGAAGAGAGACUGAUUGGGCAACAUGUUAUUCAGUUACAAAAAGACUUGGACUAUGACUCAAAAAUGAUCAAAUAAUAGUGCAUGCAUCCAAUGCAAUAAGAAGCACUUCUGGAGGGUGAGAGAAGCAUCCAGUUAAGGUGACAUUGAAGCUGGGUCCUGAAAGAUGAGGAAGAAUUGUAUGAGAGUGGGCAGAGAAGGGGGAGGUGGAGGGAUGGGGAAUGGGCUGAGAUGGAGUGAGCUGCUCAAGCAGGGAAACCAGCACUGUAAAGACCUGGUCAAUAAAGAUGGCACAUUUUAUUCAGGGAAUGGUGAAUUAAUUGUGGCAGGAAUGCUUUGGAGAGAGAGUAAUUUGCUUGUAUGGAAUUUUGCCCAAGAGACCUCAUUACAGUUUCUAAUCUUUUGAUGUUAUCGUCUAUCACUGUCCUUGUCAGAUAGUUUGGAAUAGGUAUAAUGAUCACAAUAACAUCAAGCAUAAUAUUUCAUUAAUUCUCACAAAAUCACAGGUAGGUGCCACAGUUAUCCCCAUUUUGUGAAUGAAGUGAUGAAGACUUAGGAAUGAUGAGUGAUUGCCCAAGCUCACCUGGAUAUUAAGAGGUCUUGCUCUGUUGUCCAGGCUGGAAUGUGGUAGUGCUAU
rnacentral:lncRNA from 1 species